ACGAUGAACUGGUGCUUGCACUGGGGAUUAGUGGCGAACGGGUGAGUAACACGUGAGUAACCUGCCCUUGACUCUGGGAUAAGCCUGGGAAACUGGGUCUAAUACCGGAUAUGACCUUCCAUCGCAUGGUGGUUGGUGGAAAGCUUUUGUGGUUUUGGAUGGACUCGCGGCCUAUCAGCUUGUUGGUGGGGUAAUGGCCUACCAAGGCGACGACGGGUAGCCGGCCUGAGAGGGUGACCGGCCACACUGGGACUGAGACACGGCCCAGACUCCUACGGGAGGCAGCAGUGGGGAAUAUUGCACAAUGGGCGGAAGCCUGAUGCAGCGACGCCGCGUGAGGGAUGACGGCCUUCGGGUUGUAAACCUCUUUCAGUAGGGAAGAAGCGAAAGUGACGGUACCUGCAGAAGAAGCGCCGGCUAACUACGUGCCAGCAGCCGCGGUAAUACGUAGGGCGCAAGCGUUAUCCGGAAUUAUUGGGCGUAAAGAGCUCGUAGGCGGUUUGUCGCGUCUGCCGUGAAAGUCCGGGGCUCAACUCCGGAUCUGCGGUGGGUACGGGCAGACUAGAGUGAUGUAGGGGAGACUGGAAUUCCUGGUGUAGCGGUGAAAUGCGCAGAUAUCAGGAGGAACACCGAUGGCGAAGGCAGGUCUCUGGGCAUUAACUGACGCUGAGGAGCGAAAGCAUGGGGAGCGAACAGGAUUAGAUACCCUGGUAGUCCAUGCCGUAAACGUUGGGCACUAGGUGUGGGGGACAUUCCACGUUUUCCGCGCCGUAGCUAACGCAUUAAGUGCCCCGCCUGGGGGAGUACGGCCGCAAGGCUAAAACUCAAAGGAAUUGACGGGGGCCCGCACAAGCGGCGGAGCAUGCGGAUUAAUUCGAUGCAACGCGAAGAACCUUACCAAGGCUUGACAUGAACCGGUAAUACCUGGAAACAGGUGCCCCACUUUGUGGUCGGUUUACAGGUGGUGCAUGGUUGUCGUCAGCUCGUGUCGUGAGAUGUUGGGUUAAGUCCCGCAACGAGCGCAACCCUCGUUCUAUGUUGCCAGCACGUGAUGGUGGGGACUCAUAGGAGACUGCCGGGGUCAACUCGGAGGAAGGUGGGGACGACGUCAAAUCAUCAUGCCCCUUAUGUCUUGGGCUUCACGCAUGCUACAAUGGCCGGUACAAAGGGUUGCGAUACUGUGAGGUGGAGCUAAUCCCAAAAAGCCGGUCUCAGUUCGGAUUGGGGUCUGCAACUCGACCCCAUGAAGUCGGAGUCGCUAGUAAUCGCAGAUCAGCAACGCUGCGGUGAAUACGUUCCCGGGCCUUGUACACACCGCCCGUCAAGUCACGAAAGUUGGUAACACCCGAAGCCGGUGGCCUAACCCCUUGUGGGAGGGAGC
rnacentral:rRNA from 1 species